rnacentral:rRNA from 1 species
UAUANUGGGAUUAGAUACCCCACUAUAAGGAGCUAAAAUUAAAUGAAGCACUAAAACCCUCAGGUUAAAACUUAAAGAGCAUGGCGGCGAGCCUAAUUUUUCAGGGGAAUUUACCAGGUAAUUGACAACCCACAUGAAGCCUCUCUCAACCUGAUAGUUUGUAUGCCGCCGUCUGCAGGUAACACCUAAGGUCUUACCAAAAAUCUCCCGGACAAAAGACAGGUCAUGGUGCAGCUUAUGGUUGCGUGCUAGGUGAGUUACAAUAGAAGAUUUCUUCCGCUAUAAACUUUAAAUUUGUUUGUAAAAGUAGGACUUGAAAGUAACUAAUAAGUUAGUACUACNAAANNC